CCAUUUUCGAAAGCCUUGAGAGAGAGAACACAGACGAUACCAACUUUCUUCAAUCUCGUUGCCGCAGUAUAAUUAUCUCAUUCCUCGGAUAUAUCUCUCCUUCUGCGGCGGCGACAAGAAGCUACAAGAAUAAAAAGUCUGUUUUCUCUCUUUUCAAGAAACCACUUACUUCGAAAAUGG